GGAGGGAUGUCCGAGAGGCUGAAGGAGCACGACUGGAAAUCGUGUGUACGCCCACAAAGGUGUACCGGGGGUUCGAAUCCCCCUCUCUCCGCCA
rnacentral:tRNA from 1 species